rnacentral:siRNA from 1 species
UUAAGUCUUGAUGAACCGUUCGCC